CCUGUCGGUAAUGAAUUAUCAUCCUACCUACAUUGUUUGAUUGAAGAAUGAGAAUAAGCAUGAUUCUGAGACAGG
rnacentral:snoRNA from 1 species